CAAUUUGUAUCAUAUUUAGAUAACAUCUUGAAUGUGUAAUUAUUUCUAUUUGACUCAAUGGCCUCGGUUGCUGAUGAGAACCCAAGCUUUGAGAAUCAGAGAUUGGUUCUUUCUUACUAAGUAAAACAAUGCAUUAUUUAUUUUAGAGUUAAUCCAAACUGACAUUUUUAUGACUGCUAUGGACAAAAUGUUUGUAUCUCCCCAAAAUUCAUAUGUUGAAGCCCUAAUCCCCUGUGUGGUUGUUUGGAGAUGAGACCUCUAAGGAAGAAAUUAAGGUUAAGCGAGGUCAUAAUGGUGACAGGCUCUCAUCAAACAGGAUUAGUGUCCUUAUAAAAAGGGACAUCAGAGACCACUGUACUGGCACAUUCUCCAUGUCCAGCCCCUAAACCAAUCCUGCUCACAACUUGAUCUUGGACUUCCAGACUCUGAAAGUCCAGCAAAGACAACUACAUCUAUCUUUGUCCGAUUGGCUCAUAAACAAAGUGGUCAUGGGCAGCAGCGAAGGAAGCUAUGCAUGGGCUAAGCAAUGUUCACUUCCACUCAUCAAAGCUGAUCUGACAACUGCCACUGCUGAGUGCCCAACCUGCUACCUGAGAUGGAUACUGAGCCCCCAGGAGGACCAGCUUGUGACUUGGUAGCAAAAACUCGACUGCCAUGAAACAUUGGGCUCUAAAGGAGAAACAACAAAAGAUACAAAGAGACUGUGGUACAUUUUCUCGUUUAUAUUAAUUUAAAGGGAAAUUGUUUCAUAUGGUUCUGAAACACUAACAAUGCAAUUAAUUCACCAGAAACAGAAAAAAAGUCUUUGUCUUGCUACCAUACUCAAUCAGAU
rnacentral:lncRNA from 1 species